UAGUCCACGCCGUAAACGAUGUGUGCUAGAUGUCGGGUCCAUAGGAUUCGGUGUCGCAGCUAACGCACUAAGCACACCGCCUGGGGAGUACGGUCGCAAGAUUAAAACUCAAAGGAAUUGACGGGGACCCGCACAAGCGGUGGAGCAUGUUCUUUAAUUCGACGCAACGCGAAGAACCUUACCUACACUUGACAUCCUGAUCGCGUUUUCUAGAGAUAGAUUACUUCAGUUCGGCUGGAUCAGUGACAGGUGCUGCACGGCUGUCGUCAGCUCGUGUCGUGAGAUGUUUGGUUAAGUCCAGCAACGAGCGCAACCCUUGUCUUUAGUUGCCAUCAUUUAGUUGGGCUCUCUAGAGAAACUGCCGGUGACAAACCGGAGGAAGGUAAGGAUGACGUCAAGUCAGCAUGCCCCUUACGCUCUGGGCUACACACGUGCUACAAUGGUGCAUACAGAGGGUAGCGAACUAGCAAUAGUAAGCCAAU
rnacentral:rRNA from 1 species